AGAAAUGUGUUCCGAAAACAUUUAAAAAUAGGCCAUACAGUUGCUGAAUUUUGUCUUCAUUUCAAAUCGACAAAGGUCGGUUUGAAAGAUUUUCGUCUACUUCUACUGGAUAGUCAACAGAUUCAUUUGCAUAAAGAUGGGCAUCUGCCAGCUUUUUCACGCGCAGCAUUUUUUUCAAAUGCAGCACCGCCUUCCCGGAAGGCUUUGCCUGCAUCGUGAAGUCGC